GGCCCAGGCGGGGACACGCGGGCCUGACCCGGCCUCAGAAGCCGCCCCUCUGUAGGCGCUGCAACGCUUGGGGCCGGAGCGCUGGGAACGACUUCUUACCGAAAGCGUGGGCAGGUCCCCCCACGGCCUCUGAAGCCAUGCCUUGUCCCUGUGAGGUCUGGUGCCAGGUCCUGAUAGGCUUCGGGAUCGCAAAGGAAGUCACGCGGCGCUGGAUGCCGAGGGACCGUUUCAGGGAUGGAGAUACCGCUGGCCCGGGUCCGCCCGCACCAGGCACAGUGCUGCUAAGAGAGAAUCCUAACAAGACAUUUCAGACAGUUGUCACUGUAGGCAAAUGUGUAGUGUGAGACUUGAAUCAUACUCAUGACAUGAGAGGACCUUGUUAAGCCAAAGAAUUAGAAGAGGAAGACUGAAAUAAAGCGCAUAUAUUUGUGCAAGGCCACAGAUCUGAUUACUUGAGAACAUGCUAGAAGAUCCACCUGUCUUUCCUCUAAUGAUCAGUCUUUACUACAGCAUUACUACAGAAUUGCUCUUGAGGCUUGUUGAGGUGAAACAUCCAACAAAGUACACUGCCUCUCUACUAUAUUUGGGAAACAGCUACAACAGUGCUGGAAAAGUGUGCAUCUUAGGAUGACCUGAAGAAGGAAGCCAGGACAGGGGAUGCAUUGCAGUUGAACCUGAAGGAGACAACUCUUCAGUAUCAUCCAGCUCUUUUGGGCCACUCUUCCCUCCACAGUUCUAUCCC